rnacentral:tRNA from 3 species
GAGAUGCUAGCUCAGCCGGUAGAGCACCUCCCUUUUAAGGAGGGGGCCACAGGUUCGAUCCCUGUGCAUCUCA